rnacentral:rRNA from 1 species
UACGGGGGGUGCGAGCGUUGUCCGGAAUCACUGGGCGUAAAGGGCGCGUAGGUGGUUUGAUAAGGGUGUGGUGAAAGUCCGGGGGCUCAACUCCGGAUCUGCCGUGCCGACUGUCAAACUCGAGGGCUGUAGAGGCAGACGGAAUUCCGGGUGUAGCGGUGGAAUGCGUAGAGAUCCGGAGGAAGACCGGUGGCGAAGGCGGUCUGCUGGGCAGUUUCUGACACUGAGGCGCGACAGCGUGGGGAGCAAACAGG